GACGUUUAGGGACGCGACGCGUCGCCACGCAAUGCAAAUCGGGAAAAGGGGAUGAGCUGGGCUGGUUUCCGUCGGGAUAGCGAAGGCUAGUUCUCCUCGGUUUGUUGGGAGAUGGGCCUGUGGCAGGGAGGCCGGCGUUCGUGAAGUACGCCCGGCGCUACGGUGAGUGCAGGUCAGGUCUCUGGCCUUUGUUUAAUGGGGAUUCGUCCUCGGUGAACCUUCUACCCUUCCACCAGCUGUUGGUCACCAGGGAGAUUAGCCCUGCCCGCGGAGGGACGACCCCAAGAACUGGCUGGUAAAGGAAAGGCCCAACCUCUAACAUUUCCAGCUGCCCACCUAGGUUGCCCAGAAAGUUUCGUGUGGUUUUCCGGUCUCAGAAGGUGGCCUUGGCCAUUUCUUCUUUCGCAUGGACACUAAGACCCAAUUUUGACCUCUUUCCCCAUUACUCCGUUUUCUGAUUUUUUUUUCUGUGUAUCUACAAUCCCAGGCCUUACUACAACCCCUGACAGUUUGCAAAUUCUUCCUGUGCCCCAGCCACACUUGGUUUUAGUGAAGUGAAAGCAUGAGUUUAAUAAGCUAAUCAGAGUUAAAACUGACUUCCUCUAGCAGAAGGAUUUCUUUAGAAAAUAUGCCUAAUAUCCUAGAUUGUGUCACGGACAAGUUAAUUUCACCUCUACUGUACCGAGGAAAUUAUUAGAAUCCUGGAUUGCAGUUAUGUAUUUAUACAUAAAGCUGCAGACUACACUCCUAGGUUUAUUUCCUCCAGUUUAUCCUUGUGACCUUGAUUAAGUCACUUAAUCACUCACAAAAUAUUUACCUGACUCUCAGAGGUGUUGUAGAGCCUCAGGAAUUUAAUAUUUGUUAAGUGCUUUAAGGGUUUCAGAUCAAAGAGAUGUCUACUAGAGAAGGUUUACUCUUUUUUUUUUUUUUUUUGAAGCUGCAGAGCAUCCUUAUUUCUGUAUAUAUCUUGCUGCAUUAAAGAUGCCAAGUGAUAAUUGUUAAGAAGUGUUCCUGUUGUAGACUUGUUCUGCGGCUUUGCAGUGUAAGCAAAUUUUCAUUUCAUCCGAGUCUGUUGAAGAUUCAUUGUUGAGUGUCAUUCAUGAUAGUUUCUCAUCAUUACAAUAAGGUGAUGGCAGUUGUUGUAUAUUUUUAUCAAACUGGUAUGGCUGGGUGAAAUAAUGUAUUCCUCUUCUUGUGACACAUUAGGUGUAUCUUUAAAAUUAGUAAGAAUCCUGCCACACAUCUGUCAUUAAUAGAAUUUUACAUGGACAUGUAUUUUAUUUGGGAAAACGGCAUAAGAAAAACAAAAAUAUUUUAAAGGUGCUUUGAAAAACAUUUUAAAAUAUAUUUACUUGAACUUUAUUAAUUAUCAUGGGCAUUUGUUUAUUGAUGUGUACAUAGUGGGAAAGAACCAGAAUGACUUCUUAAAGCAAGAUACUUGAAAAAUAAAGUCAGCAUAUCAAAUUUUUUAAAUAAAAUAUCUAGCAUUUGACUUUAUUAUAUGGUUUUCUAUAUGAAAAUGAAGUCAUUUUUGUAGAAGUCAAAGGAAAAGAGCCCAUGCAAAUAUUAGUUGCUAAUAAAAUUAAAUAUAAUUAAGGAAACAUUUGAAAAAAAUGUAUUUUAUGUUCUAGCUACAAGAUUCAAGGCCAUCCUGGACAAAAAAAAUGAGACCCUGUUUCAGUAAAGAAAGGAAGAAGUUUCACUAUUAUUCCAGUUGCCUUUUGCUGCAUCAUAAGUCACUCAAAAACAGUAGCUUAAAACUACAAUUUAGUAUCUCAUGUUUUUUGUGGCUGACUGGCCUUAGGUUAUUCUCACUUAGGGUUUCAUGAAUUUGUAGUCAAAUAAGUUGCUAGGGUUGGAGUUAACCUGAAAUCUCAACUGGAUUUCUGGCUCACUCACAUGGAUGGCAAUUGAUGUUGGUUGGAGUUCAACUGGUGUGCCUACACAUAACUUCUUAGUGUGUCUUGAACCUCUUACAGCAUGAUUGCUGGAGUCCAAGAAUACAUGUUUGAAGACACAGGAAGAAUAAGCUGCUAAUAUCUUAAAAGCCUGGACCUAGAAAUUGUCACAGCAGUAUUUCCAAUAUACUCUACUAGUUAAAGCAACCAAAGAGCUGUGUCCCCAUCAGAUGAUAGACUCCCCACAUGCCUGCCUUUUUUUUUUUUUUUUUCCCUUGGUGUUGCUGGGGAACCCAGGGCAUUGCACUUAAUAGGCAAGCACUAUACUACUAAGUUAUACCCACAGCCAGAUUCCUACCUUUUGAAGCAAAAAAUACCAAAGAAUUUGUGGCCAUCUUCAUUUAGCUCACUGUAAUUUUGAUGACAAGGUUGUAUUGGACUUAUAUUUAGAUUUCUAUAGUCAAUGAAGAAUAAGGUACACUUUUAAUUUCUUUAAUCAUAGUGCUUUAUAUCUUUGUGGCAUAUUAAAAAUUUUCAAAGAAAAUUUUUCUAUAUAUAUUUUAACUCAAUACAGAUGGCAAUCCUAUAGAAGCAGAGAGAUUGUUUUUAUUUCAUUUUGCAGAUACAAGUAAACUGGAAAUGUAGUGUGUGGGUUAGGGGAAUUUAAGGAAUUUGCUAAACAACAUGCGAUUAAUGAAUGGAAAAUAAAAACUAAGACCUACAACAUUCCCUUAGUAUUAAAUGUAUUAGUGGUAAAUGGUAAAAUUUUAUAUUAAAUGUAUUUGGAAUUCUGUACUUAAAAUCAUACUAAUUCAAGUGAAACAGUACUAAUAUACAGUGAAUUAAGUCAAUGUUAACUAAGUCUCAUCUCUUGACUAACACAGUACCUGUACUUUAGUUUUUUUGUAAGACUGAACUCUCUGGAACAUACCAAUAAUGAGCAAAUAUACAUGUCUUUCUAUUAUAGUGAAAUGAAAUUGUUACAUAUUGUAAUACUAUUUUCAAAAUAACUCAGUCUGAAAAAAGUUAUAGGCGUAGGACUCCUGGAGCUCUUAUUUUAAUUUCUCAAUACAGAAUCUUUAAAUGAAAAGGAUUUCAUUCUUUUAUUAGGUUGGGAGUAUAUGAUUUAAGAUGCUGAUUUCAGUUGGAAAUAAGUUGUCAUCUUCCUAUUGUUGCUUCUAGAAAUAUUUGUUGCUAUCUUUUCUUUAUGUUCAUGGUUCUUAGUCUUGGCUGAACAUUAGAAUUCACCCGGGGAGCUUUUUUAUAAUAUCUAUGUGUAGAGCCCCUCCCUGAAGAUUCUGACUUAACUGUUGAGGGGUAGGAUCUGGGCCUCAAUGUUUUUUAAAAGUUCUCAAGGUGAUUUUAAUGUAUAACUAGGACUAACAGCCAUAUCAUUUUCUUUCCUUUCUUUUAUUCUCCCCCACUCCUUUUUUUGGUACAUAGUGGGGUAUGGUUCCCUACUUACCUAUUUUGCAGCUAUUUUAAAAAAUUGGGCAGCAGGGCAUAGUGGCAAACACCUGUAAUCUCAGCUACUUGGGAGGCUGAGGCAGGAGGACUGCAAGUUUGAAGCCAUCCUGGGCAAUUUAGACUCUGUUUCAAAAUAAAAUUAAUAAGGCUGGGGGUGUAACUCAGCGGUAGGGUGCACCUGGGUUCAAUUCCCAGUAGCCUCCUCUUCAGAAAAAAACACACAUUAAAUUAAAAAAAUGAGCAAAUAACGAAGGAGAAGAUAAAAGAAAUGGAUUAAAGUUUUAAGUGUAGACAGACAUCUAAUUUAGAAAAUCUUCUGUUUCUAGGAAUGGUCCCUAAUCAGAUUUUAAGUUGGUUUGCUAGUUCCUGUAUUUUGGCACUAAGCAUUACCAUUAUUUACUUGUCUUUCAUAGUAAGGGGUAGAAACUCUAUGGUAUAUAUGUAUAUAUUUUUGUAUUCUUUGUAGCGCUCAACAUUGCACCUCGUUGAAUAGUAAUGUUUACCAUAAUGCCUAAAUGUUUACUAUAUUUAAAUUUGUUUAUGUUGUUUGUGAUUAGACCUAGGGAUAGUUAUUUCACUCUUAUUUUCCCCCCCUUAGUAUUUUAAGAACUCAGUAAAACUUUUGUUUGGAAUUGUCUUUCCUUGGUUUCCAUGAUAUUGCACUUUCCUGAUUUUCCUUCAUUGUAAUGACUCCUGCUUUUUUUUCUGAAUAUUUUUUCCUUUAGACUCACCAGUUCUGGAUCCUUCAAGUAAAUUGUCAGCUGAAUAGAAACAGCUCAUUUCCUUGAUGAUUUAUUCUCCUGAUUUUUGUUACUACUAUAUAUGAUGUCUGUUUUACUUGUUUUUUAAAAAUGUUUUUCUUCUUUUUUUUUUUUUUUUUUUUUUUGAGAUGAGGAUCUUGCUAUGUUGCCAAGGUUGCCUCCACCCCUGAGUUCAAGUGAUCCUCCUGCCUAAGCCUUCUGAAUAGCUGGGACUACAGGAAUGCACCACCAUGUCUACUCAGCUGAUGUCCAUGUUUUUAAAAGUACUAUAGAAGUUUUAAAAUAUACUAUACAAAAAAUGAAGAAAAUAGAAUUGUUCUAAACCAAAUCCUAGAUAGCUUCAUUUCAGUGUCACUACUUCAUCAUUUCCCAAAUAAUUUGGAUUAUAAAAAUUAACAUUAGUGCCUUAAUAGUUGAUGCACAGAUUUAAUGUCUGGUCUUUCAACUGCUUUGUAAUUAAUUACAUAUUUAUACCUGUGUCAAGCCAUCUUUCUUUAGACACCAUUCUCUUUAUCAUUAUGUACUUUCCUGUAAAUCAGUGGUUCUUUCUUGGGGGUAAUGUACCUCUCAGGGGAUGUUUGGCAGUGUCCAGAGACUUUUGGGUAUUAGCUUUAAUGGGAAGAGGAGGGAUGCUACCAGCAUCUUACACUCUACAGAGCAACCUCCUACAACAGUUUUAUCUGGUUUAAAGUGUCAAUUUUAUUAGGUUGAGAAAUGCUGCUAUAAACAGAUCAGUUUUUAACCUACAGUAUUAUUCAUUUUUGUUUACAGCAUUACCUUCUUCACGUUUCACAGGGGAGGAAAAAAGGGGCGGGGGAGAGGGAGGGAGAUAUUGAGCUUAUCUGUCUGUAAGCAAAACACAAUACUCAUUUUAAUCAGUAUUCUACCAAAGCAUGUUUCUGCCUUUUUGUCUUUUUUUCCUGCAGUAGUCUUCUAGCUGUUCUUUUCCAUAGUAUCCUUGUUCCUGUCUGUUUUGAAUACAACUUGCAUAAUCUCCGAUUUGACCACACUGAGAAUAUUUUUUUCAUCAAGAACUGGCUUUUAUUGCCUCCUGAGUUAAACAGUUUUGGAUGGCUUCAAAAGUCCUCCACAAUGUUACUAUCUCCUUAUCUAAUAUAAUUUAAUUAUUAUUGUUACCUAACAGUUAUUAAGUGUUGACAGUGAGGACUACCUAGGUAGGUGCCAGGGAUACAAAGACAUCAGUGGAUUCCUUUGAUCCAAUUGAUUAUUUCUCAAUAAUUUCUACAGUAUACCUCAUUUUUCUCCUGUUCUAAUUUCUGAUUUUGUAUCUUUGUUCAUGGUGUUUCUCUUUUGAAAUGCCCUCUUUUCUCACUCUGUUCUUAGUUAAAUUUUAUCUUUGGGGCCAGUUUCUGUCUCUGCCUCAUCAUGUCCGCAUACUUGUCCUUUGGUCCAAAUACCACACUGAAGGAACAAUACAGAUAACAAGCAGUUUAGGGGUCAGACCAAACAGUGAACUCCAGGAGCUGGAACCUUCAGGGACAGAGAAGUGAAACUUAAGAUGGCUUUUGAAGGAAGAAAGGCCAGCACGAAAGAUGAGAGUGUACAUUCUGGAUUGGAAGCAGCUUUAUCUUUUCUAGUUAUACUGAAUUUUCCUCACCUUGUGACGUUCCAGUGACUAGAGUCACAAUGUAUAGUGUAACAAUUAAUUUGUGACUUAUUAAUGAGUAUUAAUUUGUUCUUGGCAACUAGACAAAGAGAUACGUAAUCUGAAGGCCUAUUCUCUGUGUCUCCUAGAGUAGUGCUAUUCAAAGUAGCCAGUCUGAAUCAUUUAAAGUCCUUUCCUUCAGUGUCAAGAUAAAAGCCUGCCCUAUAAUGUAAGUCAAUGCACUGUUUUCUACGGUGAGAAAGUCUUGCUACUAUAAAAAGGUCAAUGUGCUUAAUUGAUGUACAUUCUAUAACAAGCUUCCUAUUUUAUCAAGACUGUUAACAAAUACUUUUCCAUUGGUCUUUGGAUGUUGAAGUAGCAUUACUGUAAUGAGAGAGAUUAGAAUGUUUUAAAAAAUUAUAACCUGUAGUAAGAAAUACAUUUUAUAUUUUAAUCCAGUAUUGUAUACAUAUGUUUAUACACAUUGUAUCAGUUUGUUUUCUGUUUAUAAUGAGAAAUGUGAGGCCAGAUACUUUAUAAAGAAGAGAGGUUUGUUCAGCUCACAGUUUUGCAGUAAAAAGUCCAAAUAGCAUAGCACUGGCCCUUUCAGAGGCCUCCCUAACUGCAUCACAUUAUGGUGGAUGACAUGUUGGGAGUGGGUAUGAGAGGGAGAGAUCACAUGGUGAGACAGGGAGCCAGAGAGGUACACUGGGGACUCACUGGGGUCCUACAAGUCCCUCAUGCCUCAUACCUUCUAAGGGAAGUGCCCACUAGGCCCUACCUCUUAAAGGUACCAGCACCUUUCACUAUGUGUGCCAUACUCCUAUAUUUUCUAUUUUGCAUAUUUUUAUUAUUUAUUUUUUUAGUUUCGGCGAACACAACAUCUUUGUUUGUAUGUGGUGCUGAGGAUCGAACCUGGGCCGCACGCAUACCAGGCGAGCGCGCUACUGCUUGAGCCACAUCCCCAGCCCCUCUAUUUUGCAUAUUUUUAAAAUGCUAAUUGCAAUGUCAUGAAUUUUGUGGUUGGCGGGGUGCCAAGGAUAGAAUCCAGAGAUGCUUUUUACCAUUAAGCUACAUCCCAGCCCUUUUUACUUUUUAUUUUGAGACAGGCUCUUAUUAAGUUGUUGCUGAGGGUCUUGUUAAGUUGCUAAGGCUGGCCUUGAACUUGGCAAUCCUUCUGCCUCAGCCUCCUGAGUCACUGGGAUUACAGGUGUGAGUCACUGCACCUGACUUGAUGUCAUGGAUUUUAAAAACACUGCCUUCAAGCAUUUAGCACAUUGCUAGACAUAGUGUAUGCUUAGAAAAUGGCAGAAGUUUUAGCAGUAAUUAAAUCUUUUUUUUUUUGUUGUUAUGUGGUUCUGAGGAUCGAACUCAGUGCCUCACGCAUGCUAGGCAAGCGCUCUGCCACUGAGCCACAGUCCUAGCAGUAAUUAAAUCUUGAGAGAGGAUUGACUCUUCUUAAUACUUCAUGAUUAUUGUAAAAUGUUAUUUCAUCAGUACUUAGUUCUCUGUGUCAUUUUGCAUUGAAGAGUGUGGAGUGGAUUAUAUGAAAUUUAAGAGAUAGCCAGAGUCUCAGAAGAUAGAAGAUACAGUACUGAGUACCAAGUACAACUGUCUGAAGAGCAGUUAUGGGGAGAGAUGGUGGGUGACCAAGAAAGACAAAACUCUUAUUGUUACUGAGACCUUGACAGUGGCUGUUGUAAAGCCCCAGUUAGGAUAUCAGGACCAAUUUAGUGACUGUGAACCUCAAUUUUCACUUUUAUUUUUUUUUAGAGAAGACUUUUUAAUCAUCAUUUGUGGUUCAAGUCAUCUAAUCUACCAUCUGUGGAAAGAUUCAGUGUUGUCAGGAUCUUGCUUUUAGACUAACGCUGGUGUUCUUAAUCUUUGUUAGAUUUACACAUCUCUAAUAUUUUUUGUUCUUAAAAGAAUUUUUCUUAUAUAUACUUAUUUUCUUUAAAUUUUUGAUUUUUUGAAGCAUAACAUAGUGUUACUGGGUUAUAUUAUUAUAUUUAGUUUGUUCUAGAUCCAAACAGAGUCCAUAAAUUAACAUCGGUAGCUAAUGAACAUGUAUUCUUGAAUAGGAAUCAGUUGGCUUGCCAUUAUUGCUACUACUUUUUUCUUUGUUUUAAACUAUUGCAACCAAAAUAAGGAAAUUCAUUUAGUUAUUUUGGCAUUGAUUUAUUUAUGUCAGUUCAUAUUGAGUUUUCUUUAAUGGCAAAAUGCAGAUGACAUCAAAAACAUAAUAAUUAUGUUUAGGUUGGAUAUGUUUCUUUGCUUUCUCAUUUGAUUAAGAAAAAAACAAAAAAAACACCUUACCCUCUGUUUGACUUCUGCAUUAACAUGUGCUUGUGGAAGUGAAAGAGCAAUUAAAACAAUGCUGGCACCCAAGCCUCCCCUGCAGCCCUUGUGCAGCUGAGAGGGGGUCAGUGGGAGGCACCAGUGUUGCUGGAUUGCCUUCUUGGCCCUAGGCAUCACUGCCUUGCUGUUCCUAGGUACUGAAAGUGCUAUGGCUGGCUGUUUUCCUCCAGAUGGCACCCGUGGCAGAUAUGUCCUCAACAAGCUGCCUUCCCUGCCCCCACUGCUCUCAGGGCUCCAUACACACUGGGCUCUGAAGGUCUUCAGCUGCAGCUUGUUAUCUUGCAGUGGUCUUCAAGAAGUGACUGAUGUUGCUUUCAAGUAUAUCAAUUAACAAUAAAGUGAUUAAAUGUACAUUUUCAUGGUAUAAUUAACAAAUUUGCAUUAAUGUAAAGCAAAACAUUCUUAGGAUUUGUCAAACUAAUAUUGAGUGUUAUCUUUGUAGUAUGUGAAGAUUGAUGUCAAAAUAUUUUUUGUAAUUUAUAAAUUUAUGUUGCUUCUAAAUGUAUCUUCAUUACUUGUGUUAGGUUGUAUAAAUAAUAAAACAUUUUAAGGGGGGAAAAAAAAAAAACAAUGCUGGAAGUAUUUUUAACUCCAGCAUCGUAAUUCCACGGUAUAACAUAUACAAUUUUGUAAAUAAAAAUAGAAGCAACUGGUUCUUUGGACUUUGGAGAACAUUGUUGAACUCUUCUCAAAAAUCAAAUAAGGACAGAAAAGGCAGCUUAAAACGUAUAAUUUUUCUCCUAGAAGCUUUUGCCAAAACCCUUGGUGAUAUAAUGUUAUCCCUGUACUUUUCUUCCUUAUGUCUAAUCAUUUUGCCAAGUUCUGUCAUUAUACCUUUGCAGUGUUUCUUGUAUCUGCUGCCUCCCAUUCCAUCUCAGCUGCCCCAGUUCUGACCUUCGUCAUCUUUGCCUAGGAUCAUUGGAAUAGAUAACUAGUGUUUUUCCUAUUUCUAGUCUCUUAAGCCUAAUUUUGUACUCUUUGUUAAUUUGGAUAGCAUAACUCUCUUCAAGAUCUUUUUGUGGCUCUUCAUUACCUUCAAAGAACAAAGCAAAUGCUUCAGUGUGACAUUCAAGGUCUUUUUAAAAAAAUCUGUUUCAAGACUAUUUUUUCAGGUUUUGCUGCUUAGUAGAUCUUGUUCAUUCUCUGUAACAGCUAAUUUCUAAAGAUAUGUUUUACUUUCUUAACUCUUUCCUCAUAUUGUUCCUUACCUCUAUUGGAAGCUUUCUAUCAUUGGUAUAUCAACNCUUCAAGCAUUUAGCACAUUGCUAGACAUAGUGUAUGCUUAGAAAAUGGCAGAAGUUUUAGCAGUAAUUAAAUCUUUUUUUUGUUGUUGUUAUGUGGUUCUGAGGAUCGAACUCAGUGCCUCACGCAUGCUAGGCAAGCGCUCUGCCACUGAGCCACAGUCCUAGCAGUAAUUAAAUCUUGAGAGAGGAUUGACUCUUCUUAAUACUUCAUGAUUAUUGUAAAAUGUUAUUUCAUCAGUACUUAGUUCUCUGUGUCAUUUUGCAUUGAAGAGUGUGGAGUGGAUUAUAUGAAAUUUAAGAGAUAGCCAGAGUCUCAGAAGAUAGAAGAUACAGUACUGAGUACCAAGUACAACUGUCUGAAGAGCAGUUAUGGGGAGAGAUGGUGGGUGACCAAGAAAGACAAAACUCUUAUUGUUACUGAGACCUUGACAGUGGCUGUUGUAAAGCCCCAGUUAGGAUAUCAGGACCAAUUUAGUGACUGUGAACCUCAAUUUUCACUUUUAUUUUUUUUUAGAGAAGACUUUUUAAUCAUCAUUUGUGGUUCAAGUCAUCUAAUCUACCAUCUGUGGAAAGAUUCAGUGUUGUCAGGAUCUUGCUUUUAGACUAACGCUGGUGUUCUUAAUCUUUGUUAGAUUUACACAUCUCUAAUAUUUUUUGUUCUUAAAAGAAUUUUUCUUAUAUAUACUUAUUUUCUUUAAAUUUUUGAUUUUUUGAAGCAUAACAUAGUGUUACUGGGUUAUAUUAUUAUAUUUAGUUUGUUCUAGAUCCAAACAGAGUCCAUAAAUUAACAUCGGUAGCUAAUGAACAUGUAUUCUUGAAUAGGAAUCAGUUGGCUUGCCAUUAUUGCUACUACUUUUUUCUUUGUUUUAAACUAUUGCAACCAAAAUAAGGAAAUUCAUUUAGUUAUUUUGGCAUUGAUUUAUUUAUGUCAGUUCAUAUUGAGUUUUCUUUAAUGGCAAAAUGCAGAUGACAUCAAAAACAUAAUAAUUAUGUUUAGGUUGGAUAUGUUUCUUUGCUUUCUCAUUUGAUUAAGAAAAAAACAAAAAAAACACCUUACCCUCUGUUUGACUUCUGCAUUAACAUGUGCUUGUGGAAGUGAAAGAGCAAUUAAAACAAUGCUGGCACCCAAGCCUCCCCUGCAGCCCUUGUGCAGCUGAGAGGGGGUCAGUGGGAGGCACCAGUGUUGCUGGAUUGCCUUCUUGGCCCUAGGCAUCACUGCCUUGCUGUUCCUAGCUACUGAAAGUGCUAUGGCUGGCUGUUUUCCUCCAGAUGGCACCCGUGGCAGAUAUGUCCUCAACAAGCUGCCUUCCCUGCCCCCACUGCUCUCAGGGCUCCAUACACACUGGGCUCUGAAGGUCUUCAGCUGCAGCUUGUUAUCUUGCAGUGGUCUUCAAGAAGUGACUGAUGUUGCUUUCAAGUAUAUCAAUUAACAAUAAAGUGAUUAAAUGUACAUUUUCAUAGUAUAAUUAACAAAUUUGCAUUAAUGUAAAGCAAAACAUUCUUAGGAUUUGUCAAACUAAUAUUGAGUGUUAUCUUUGUAGUAUGUGAAGAUUGAUGUCAAAAUAUUUUUUGUAAUUUAUAAAUUUAUGUUGCUUCUAAAUGUAUCUUCAUUACUUGUGUUAGGUUGUAUAAAUAAUAAAACAUUUUAAGGGGGGAAAAAAAAAAAACAAUGCUGGAAGUAUUUUUAACUCCAGCAUCGUAAUUCCACGGUAUAACAUAUACAAUUUUGUAAAUAAAAAUAGAAGCAACUGGUUCUUUGGACUUUGGAGAACAUUGUUGAACUCUUCUCAAAAAUCAAAUAAGGACAGAAAAGGCAGCUUAAAACGUAUAAUUUUUCUCCUAGAAGCUUUUGCCAAAACCCUUGGUGAUAUAAUGUUAUCCCUGUACUUUUCUUCCUUAUGUCUAAUCAUUUUGCCAAGUUCUGUCAUUAUACCUUUGCAGUGUUUCUUGUAUCUGCUGCCUCCCAUUCCAUCUCAGCUGCCCCAGUUCUGACCUUCGUCAUCUUUGCCUAGGAUCAUUGGAAUAGAUAACUAGUGUUUUUCCUAUUUCUAGUCUCUUAAGCCUAAUUUUGUACUCUUUGUUAAUUUGGAUAGCAUAACUCUCUUCAAGAUCUUUUUGUGGCUCUUCAUUACCUUCAAAGAACAAAGCAAAUGCUUCAGUGUGACAUUCAAGGUCUUUUUAAAAAAAUCUGUUUCAAGACUAUUUUUUCAGGUUUUGCUGCUUAGUAGAUCUUGUUCAUUCUCUGUAACAGCUAAUUUCUAAAGAUAUGUUUUACUUUCUUAACUCUUUCCUCAUAUUGUUCCUUACCUCUAUUGGAAGCUUUCUAUCAUUGGUAUAUCAACUGCUUUCUCUUUUGUGAUCACUUCCAAGAUCUCUGUAGUCUGUAGUCAUACUUAAUUUUCUCUCUAAAUUUUUCUUAUAUUACAUUAUUUGUACUUAUAGUACGUUAUUUAUAACUCCAUAGUUUGAUAUCAUAGUAUAUUGUAUUAUAUUGCUGCUUAUGCCUUAUCUUUAACAUUAAUUUUUGUAUAAAGUUAUUUGGGUCCUUGAAGUUUUUGUUUGGUGACACAGAUCAGCUCCCCUGAUCUGCCCCAUCUGCAAGCAUACCUGCUAUGCGUACACACAUAUCACAACUUAAUUGAUAAAUUGAUACAUACCUAGCCAUUCUUCCUCUUAUCUUCAUUUUUUACUACCUGCUCUAUCUUCCUGUUCAGAAUUUGCCAGAGAUACAAGGAAACAAAAAAAAGUCACAAAACAUCAAAGACCUUUACAAAGUAAACUAGAGUACAUUAAUGUUUUCUGGUAGAAAUAAACAUGUUCUUUUUUUCCUAGCUCUGUAUAAUAUGGCCUUGCCUACAACUUGCUUUUUUUUUUUUAAUAACCUGAUAUUAUCAAUGAGAAAAAAGUAUUUCUGGAUGAAAAUUUCCUCUACUUGUGAUCUGUACAUUAAUGUAGUCUUAAUAGAAGAAAACUGUAAAAACUCUUAUUCUUCUUACUGCUGGUUAAUUUAACAGCUAAAUUUCCUAAUAAUGCAAAAUGAUACAAAUAAUUCAUUUAAUGAAAAUUUGAAAAAAAUUGUUUAUUUAUACCUUAUGUUUUUGAACUCCCCAAAUAGAUAUUCAAGAUCAUUUAAAUACAGUUUAGAAGCUUUUUGUUGAUUUGUUUUAUUUGCUUACUUAUACAUAGGUUUGAACCUAAGACCUUGCCCAUGCUAGGCAAGUGUCUACUACUAAGCCAUACACCCAGCCCGAGAGUUUUUUAACUGCUCUUUUGCUUUAUUGUGAGUGGGGAAAAUUAGUGAAAUUAUUUGUUUUGUUUCAGGAAACAACUAUUUUUCAUUAAAUACACCACCCAUUAUGAAAGUGGAUAAGUAAAGAUUAUUCAUCAUGCCUGCUGUAGCUUCAGUUCCUAAGGAACUCUACCUCAGUUCUUCACUAAAAGACCUCAAUAAGAAGACAGAAGUUAAACCAGAGAAAAUAAGCACUAAGAGGUAUGUAUCCUCUGCUAGUUUGAUUGAAUCAUUAAUUUUAGUUCAUUUCCUUAUUCAAGUUAGAUGAAUAGUCAGUUUAAAGUUUAUUUGAAAAAUAAUACCAUCACAUGAAUACAGUAAGACUUUAGAGAAGUUCUUUAUCUUCACAGAUUAUGUAUAUGUUCUGCUUAUAUGCAUAAUAACUGCUUUCUGGACAGUAUGUAUAGUAGAUCAUAUGUUUAAGAGACAAAGAAUAUUGAGGGUUUUAUAAACCAUUGUCUUUUCAUAAAACAUUGUAAAAAUGAUGUUUAUUCUUGUUACUACACAUGUGAGUUAUGAUACUAGCAUAAUCUUUCUUUGAUCAAAAGAGAAGUAAUAGGUAGUUUUUGUUCACUAUUCAGUAAGGUAUUAUCUUGUGUCAGUUCAACCUUGGCUUUUAACUUAAUGAUUUAUUCUAUGUAUUUUUGUUUUUGAGGAUCCAUCUACCUGCAGAGGCAGGGCUAGAGAUGAUGCCUUCUUGAUAGAGAUUACAGAAUCUGGCCUGAAUAAAAUAUAAUAGUCAUCUGGUUAUUUCAGUAUUUACUGGAAAUAUAAUUUUGCUAAAAAUGAUGUAUCAAUAAAAUUGUAAACCAGUUAGUUAUAUCUCUGUUAAGGGACAGAAGACAAUAACAGAACUUUUAUUCUGAAUUUAUUUUGACCAACAAAGGAGAUUAAGAGAUAAAUAAGUAACCACAUUAUUAUAGCAUCAAAAAUGAGUUUUUCAAAAGCAAAGUGGACCUAGACACCAUAUUCCCCAUAUUUUGGGAAAGCAGACUUUAUAAAUUAAGGGGGAAAAUAGGUGCUUCAUGACAAGAUACAUAGGAGAGUCUCAAUAUUGAUAUGUAUGAUCUCAAAUGGACCAAUAAAUAGAUGUCCAUGGAAACCUAUGAAUGCACAGGGACAUCUUAAUGAGUCAUAUUUUUAAGGGAAAUAAAUUGAAGAUGGGAAGAAAACAAAACAUCAAAAAUUACAAGAGAAAGGUAAAAACACUUAAAAAGAUCAGGAAAGAAAAAUCCCAAAAUGAACUGAAAUUUCUAAAUGUUACCAAGACAAAAAUGGGCUUUUUUUUUUUUUUUUAAGAUAACCUUUUGGGGAAGAUUAAGAGGGAUUGUGAAUUAUUUCUUAGGGGCUAAGUGGGUGGUAUUGAUGGAUGACAAGGAAAGCAGUUCUAUUUAACUCCUGUAUGUGACUUUCUAAUAGGAAACAGUGGGAAAGAUAAAGUCACUUUUAAGCUUUCUCAAAGCUGAAGGACAGAAGGAUUUUUGAAAUAGGACCUAAAAUGGGUCAUUACUUUCUGGCAGUGUCUGACUUAUAUCUGAGAUCACCCGUACCCCAGAGGAAGUGGUUUAAGUUGGUUACAUCCAAACAUAUCUAACUAUGUACCAAUUGAAGUAGUUCAACCUAAAUUAUGAAAUUUACUCUAUCAAGGUUAUCUUUGAAAUUUAUAAAUGACCUAUAAUUUUUUUCCCAAAUGUCAAGUAUUUUAAUUAUUUUUCCUCUUAAUUUUAAGUUAUGUACACAGCGCCCUGAAGAUCUUCAAGGCAGCAGAAGAAUGCAGAUUAGAUCGUGAUGAGGAAAGGGCUUAUGUUCUAUAUAUGAAAUAUGUGUCUGUUUAUAAUCUGAUCAAAAAAAGACCUGAUUUCAAGCAACAGCAGGUACCUUUUAUUUUUGCAUUUUUAUUUGCUGUUUUUGCAUAA
rnacentral:lncRNA from 1 species